rnacentral:SRP_RNA from 1 species
GGGUAAGUCUUAUACGACCAGCUCCCAAUGAACUCCCCCAGGUCUGGAAGGAAGCAAGGGCAAUUGGUUGAUGCGGAGCGAUAUAAGGGGCUUGCCCACU